GGCGGCCUUUUAGCCAUUUGUGUCGUUGGAUUUGAUUUCAAUAUGUUGCCGUGUGUUAUUACAAGUCAAAUCGAUGGCAUUUUGGUUAGAUCGACGCGUUGACGUGUGAGUGGCUAGUUGAAUGUUUGUGUUGGCUGGCUCCCUGCUUGUGCAGCGAACAGUUGGCGCAUACAUAUUUCAGGCGCGACGGAGACGUGUUGGAUUUUUGUGUUGCCAAUCCAUUUGAUGGAAUUCUUAUGGCCCUGAUGCGUAAGUUUCCCGAAAACCCCUUGAGGUGCUAGGGGGACAAUGAAGCUGCUCGGUUUUUGCCAUGCACUCCCAUUUCGGGAUCCAUGGAAAAAUGGUGGUAUUGCUUGUUGCCUCGGAUGCAGAGCAUGAAGCGAGCAUGAUGCCUGUCGUCAUCGCUCAUUCAGAGCUCUCGGUUGCUCGGAAAGAGAGACCGCCGUGCAUGGUUUCGGCUGCCGACUCGUCGAUCCGGCUUGAAACCUUGCCGACGUCUUCAAUGAAUGCUACCUGGUUGAUCCUGCCAGUAGUCAUAUGCUUGUCUCAAAGAUUAAGCCAUGCAGGGUUGUAAAGUAA
rnacentral:misc_RNA from 1 species